UGGGGAAUAUUGGACAAUGGGCGCAAGCCUGAUCCAGCCAUGCCGCGUGAGUGAAGAAGGCCUUCGGGUUGUAAAGCUCUUUUACCAGGGACGAUAAUGACGGUACCUGGAGAAUAAGCCCCGGCAAACUUCGUGCCAGCAGCCGCGGUAAUACGAAGGGGGCUAGCGUUGUUCGGAAUUACUGGGCGUAAAGCGUACGUAGGCGGUGACUCAAGUCAGAGGUGAAAGCCUGGAGCUCAACUCCAGAACUGCCUUUGAAACUAGGUCGCUAGAAUCACGGAGAGGUGAGUGGAAUUCCGAGUGUAGAGGUGAAAUUCGUAGAUAUUCGGAAGAACACCAGUGGCGAAGGCGGCUCACUGGACGUGUAUUGACGCUGAGGUACGAAAGCGUGGGGAGCAAACAGGAUUAGAUACCCCGGUAGUCCCUGAGCGGGCUGGCAAGGCGCAU
rnacentral:rRNA from 1 species